rnacentral:lncRNA from 1 species
ACCUGCCAUCUGCAAUGUAUACAUUGUUCUAUAUGUUAUAUGUUGGAUUAAAAGAACAUUGUGCAAUCAGCAGAAUUCUAAACACAUUGUGUCAUGCAUUUAAAUAGCAUUGUAGCGAAUAUUAACUUGGGGUGGAAAGCAGGCUCCUUUUAGGGCAYGCAGAGCUCUUUCUCUUGAAGGGAGGAGACCAGCCUCAUCCCUGCUGAGGAGCUGUGUGUCAUCUCCAGCCUGCACGACACGRUACCUUCCCACGGGGACCCGGACCAUGGCACGACAGCUAGUCCUCAGCGCUGGGACCCAGCCUUCCCACCAGCAAGGUGCAUCGGCUGUCCCGUUCCCAAGGAAUAUGCGUGGUGACAKGUAUAUGUCAGAUCUUCGUGCCACCCUUGCAAGAUGUGUUCAUAGUCUAGCUCCAGAUCCCGGAGUCCUCCUUGGAGCAGUGGAGGACUGAGCUCUGCGUCAUGCCUGGAGCGGGCUUCGCUGGGAGAAGGUGCUGCUAGUGAUGGGCCAAAGCCUGAGAUGUUUCCUUUGGGCUGGAUCCUGCCGCCGUGUCUUGCGUUGCGCAGGAUCGACUCUGCUGUCGGAGCGAGGYGAAGGGUCCGCUGCAGUCAGGAGGACACACGCUGCGACUACCGAGAGCCAGGAGCUGCUCAACCAAAGCAAUGACACCAAAAGGCAGCCCUAAGUCAUGGCAGGCAUCCUUGCUUGCUCGCCAACGCCUCYGCUGCGUAGGACAACCUCUCUUUUCUGCUCAGCUCAGUCUGCACGGAUAACAAAUUGUUCGUAUUAGUAAGGGCUUGACUGGGCGGCUGAGAGCUCAAUUUGUGGCCUGAGUAAACCAUAAGUCAGGUCGCUGCUCUCCGCAGCUCGCAGCGUGAAUGUGCCUUGGUGCCACCUCCCAAAGCUGAGUCCGAAGCCACAGGCGUAUUUCUGGAAAGCCUUGGGUUUAACCGCAGAGCGGGGCAAGCUGCUGCUGCUUCCUACGUGAAGAUAGACAAUAAAAUAAACAAACCCAGAUACA